GCCGGGCAUGGUGGUGCACACCUGUAAUCCCAGAGGCUUGGGAGGCUGAGUUAGGAGGAUUGCAAUUUCAAGGAAGCCUCAGCAACAUAUCAAGGGUCUAGCAAUUCAGCAGGACCCUGUCUCAA
rnacentral:sRNA from 1 species